rnacentral:rRNA from 1 species
UCGGGAAUUUUGGGCAAUGGGCGAAAGCCUGACCCAGCAACGCCGCGCGAGGGAUGAAGUAUUUCGGUAUGUAAACCUCGAAAGAAUGGGAAGAAUAAAUGACGGUACCAUUUAUAAGCUCCGGCUAACUACGUGCCAGCAGCCGCGGUAAUACGUAGGGAGCAAGCGUUGUUCGGAUUUACUGGGCGUAAAGGGCGCGUAGGCGGCGCGGUAAGUCACUUGUGAAAUCUCUGAGCUUAACUCAGAACGGCCAAGUGAUACUGCUGUGCUAGAGUGCGGAAGAGGCAACCGGAAUUCUUGGUGUAGCGGUAAAAUGCGUAGAUAUCAAGAGGAACACCUGAGGCGAAGGCGGGUUGCUGGGCCGACACUGACGCUGAUGCGCGAAAGCCAGGGGAGCGAACG